GAUGAACGCUAGCGGCAGGCCUAAUACAUGCAAGUCGAACGGUGUAGCAAUACACAGUGGCGCACGGGUGCGUAACACGUAUGCAACCUACCUUACAUUGGGGGAUAGCCUUUCGAAAGGGAGAUUAAUACCGCAUAAGACAGUAACUAGGCAUCUAGUAGCUGUUAAAGAUUUAUCGAUGUAAGCUGGGCAUGCGUCCAAUUAGUUAGUUGGCGAGGUAAUGGCUCACCAAGACGAUGAUUGGUAGGGGAACUGAGAGGUCAAUCCCCCACACUGGCACUGGGAGACGGGCCAGACUCCUACGGGAGGCAGCAGUAGAGAAUAUUGGGGAAUGGGCGCAAGCCUGACCCAGCCAUGCCGCGUGCAGGAAGAAGGCGUUAUGCGUUGUAAACUGCUUUUAUACAGGAAGAAACGACCCUUGCGAGGGGCAUUGACGGUACUGUAUGAAUAAGCACCGGCUAACUCCGUGCCAGCAGCCGCAGUAACAC
rnacentral:rRNA from 1 species